rnacentral:lncRNA from 1 species
CUUCAGUAUUCCCUUCAAGAUUACUUCACUCGUGUUCUAGACCUAGCAGUCAGUCUGCCAGAAUCCAACUGAAUGACUCGAUCCAGCCGAGCACCAGCUUUCCCCUGGCCUCUGCCCCGCCCUCCUCCCGGAAGUUUUUGCCUAGCCACGGGCCGCCCAUCGUGGGGGAGAGGGCUGGAGCUCAGCUGCGGAAAGCGGCCCUGAGCACUCGCUGCAGCAGUGGGAGGCGGCCAUUUUAGCUCGGAGGUCGCUACCUCCGCGAGCCUCUUGUCGCUGCUUGAUUUCCCCUUCUGCCUUCCCCUCCUGGUAGAGCUGACAGAAAGCACCAUCAAGCUACGAGGGGUUGUUUAUUAUCAGUACUGCUAUUUUUGAAGCAGGUGCUGCUUUGUAUAAAGUCAGCAGCAUGGGUCAGGCUCUUCUGUCACACCUGUAACUCUGUGCGAGGAAAUAGCCCACGUGGGAGUGUGUGCUUGUUAUGUCUUUCAGGCAAUCAGUAGAAUGGAAGUGAACUGGUAAAGACUUAAGCUUGGGCUGUGUGUGCCUCUGUAACAAAAAGAACUAGUCAAGAGCUACAGAGGAGCAGGGGCUAAUUAUGGCAGGGUGGAAGUGUGAAGAUGCACACCUGAAUCAGGUGCUCUACUUGUGAGAACGAAGAUAGUGCCAUGUGUUUGUAUCUACUGCUGCAAGAGGAAGGAAUCGAAUGCAUCUACAGGCACUGCUAUGGCUAUCUGGAGUAGUUGAAGCUUUGCCUUGGGCUGUGGAAUGUGUAGUCUGAAAGAGUGCAGGUCUUAGUCCCUCAGCUGCAGCAGGAGUAUCAAGCUCUGCCCUUGAGCUGGCAAGCCAGCAUCUCCUGCUCUGUAGAGCAGGGAGUGACUCUGACUAAGGUGAGCAUAGUCUGCCAAAGAAGAGGAUGGUUUUGGAUUUGUUGUGUCUGAUGAAGAAGAGAAAAGGGUGGUCGGCUUUGAAAGUUACUCUAGGUGUUCUUGACCUCAACACCAGGACACCUGUGGCAGCUGCUGCCUCGGUACCUUCUUCAUUGACCUCCACAAAAGCUUUGUGAAUAACUUUUGAUAGGAAGAAGUCCUUCUUUGCUGACAUCCUUGUGAAAUCAGCCUGAACAGGGUCAAAAGCAUUUUGUAUCCCCAUGUUGCUCAAAGUGGAUGUAAGAUCAUAAUUUUCUUCAAUCUUCAACUUGGGCAGGUACAGUUCCACUUCGACUUUCAUCAUACGGGCUGAGUUGGACCAUUCAGCUAAUUUUUCAUGGGUCAGCUCUCUUUCUACCUGCAAUGAAUUUUAUAAGAAUAUAGUCAUAAUGCAACAGAAAAAAGAAGGCAUGCAUACAUUGGUGUCUAAUGCUCUAGAUUUAAAAGGUCCAACUACCAGCUGUGGGUACAGCUGAAAUGUGCUGCAUAUUCUUAGGAUGUGGUCCUGCAUAGUGCUGAGUGACCUAUACUCCUAUCUGUUUCCUUAAAUGCAGUGAGGUGUAGAGUGAACCUUCAGAAUUAUUCAUUAUUUUGGAGGUGGAUAUGAGAAGUGUUGCUUUUAUGCAGUGUCCAACUUAACCACAUUGAUAAGUGCUUGGUAUGUGUGAAUUUGUAAGACAUUUCUCUUAGUAGUGGUGAGUAAGUGGAAUGCAUGGGACCUCAAGAGCAAAUAAAAAGAUAUUUGCCCUGAUGUAUUUAGAUUCUGAAGCUCUGAUGUAUUUAGAUUCAGAAACUAAUCCUGGCAUGGUCAUGAGUGGCUGCUGUUACCUCAUGGGUCAAGGUAAGUCAGCCCCGAGUUUGAAAAGCCUCGUUACAAAGUAUCAGGUGGAAAUCUGGACUGCGGAUGACAUAAAACUGGUUAGUGUUGCCCUCAGAAGAUUAAUUCUGGGGCACAGUGGUUUAGAUUUGAUUCUUGCUUUCGUUAUUCUGCUAUUCUGGAGGUAGAAAAGGAGGCACCGAAUAGGCUAAGAGAGUAGAGUGGGCAUACUUUUUUAGGUGUAUCCUCAGGUAGAUUUGUAUUUUUGCAUCAUUAAUAGAUGCCCUGAAACCUAGGCUGAGCAGUCAUUGUGUCAUUUGAAGUUCAUUCUUCCUCACUGUUUUCAUCUAUUUCUGUUAGUGCUUUGUAGUGCGUGUGAUGCAGUAUGUCAGUUUUACCAGCUCCAGACCAGUAGUGUUAUCACUGAUGUCAUCUGGUAGGAGUACGAACAUGCUGAGUUCAUUUUCCACGUACGGCAGCUCAAUAAUUUUGAAUUUCAUUGUUUGUUCAUGGAGCAUCAAAAAUGUAUCUCUGAGAAACAUCAUCUGUACUGCUUUAGUCUUGGUCUGUGAAAUGAUUCAGAUGUUAAAAAAGAACAGAAAAGAAAAAAAGAUUAGUUGUACUUAUUCCUUAAGGUGAAUGGUAAAGAUUACUUGCUUUGUUGAACUGAAGGCAAAAAAAAAAUGUAAACAAGUAUAAGACUUGGCAUUAUUCUUUCCCAGUGCCAUUUCUCCUGUUUCAAAGUCAAAGGGAUCUUCAGAAGAAAAGAAAAAAAAAGCACAGACACCACCUGAUAACGUAAUUACAUGCAAUGUAUUUCUCACUCUUUUGAAAGAGUUAUCUUUGGUAAACAAGAAACUACUUUGUAUGUUUCAAGUUUUCCCCAAAACUUUACAUUUCUUGAGUGAAUGUGUUGAUUGGGAGGGGAAAAAAAUGCUGACUUUCAUUCUCUGGAUGUCAUCAACUCUUUUGUAUGCUUCCGGACAGCACUGAUUGAUUGAAUUUACAUAUGGACCAUAUUUGCUGUGACCUCUGCUAGUUUUUUCUCUUUCCCAAACUGUAGAGGUUUGGAUUACCAACUGAAAUCAUGUUAGACAGUAAUCAUCUGAACUCUUAUGCUGUAUUAUGCUCAGAGACCUUCACUGAUAUAUCCACUCUCUCUUUUCCAUUGUUACACAAGUGCAAAAGCUUAUCUGUUUGCAGGCUUUGCUAUCAGCCACUCUGUGAAUGAAACCCUUUCUGUGCACCGUGUACUAUUACAGGUCCUAAAACUGCGCAUGCAGUGUAGUAGGUUUCAGAUAACACAGCCACAGUAUCGACACAAUUGCUUCACAUCACCAGACAUACAAAAGGUGUUUGCACUCGUAAUCUCAUGUCAAACAACGUGUUCUGAAUGAAAAUUCUUUUUGCUCACCUUUGACACAAGCCGAAAGUAUGCAUGCUGUCAGCUACUGUAAAUUGUCCAUGCACAAUCACUGAGAUACUGUAAGCUCAGUCGUGCCCACAAUGCAUGCUGAACACAUCAUCCAUACGCAUCUGGCUAAAAUGACAAACCCUCUUGAGAAUUCCACGUGAGGUUUUACGCAAUGGCCAGGGCAUUAGGAAAGAACACUUAGGCUACUUGAGCUCACAUUAUACAGCCUCUGUCUGAAAAGCAUGAAAAGAGACCUAGGUGUCGAAGUACUGCUCUCAGAAUUAGCUCAAUUCCUUCUGAAAAUGAUAUCUCAGUACUUAGAGAAACUUUCUCUUGUCCUUAAGCUGCUUAACCAUGGUGUUUUCAACUGUUUUGGUGCCAAGAAGCUACUAACUUAACUGAAAAUCCUAAUCUCAUGCAUCUUAUAAAUGAGACUGCUGAUUUAUUGUCACUGUUGCUGUUCUCAGAGUUUAUACCAUCUGCUACUGCUGUAAGUAGUGUUGUACUGGGAUAUGAAAUGCAGGUGAAAUAUUUAGGGGAUUCUUGCUCUGCAAUAAUAGACAUUUUGAAGGAAUUUACCUUGCUUAAUCUGAAGGGCAUCUCGGAUGUGUCUUUUUCCAGAAACCUCUUUUCCCAGUUUCCUUUGAAGUAAAUAGCAUUUACUAAGACCAAUACAGUGUCAGAAUCAAGAGAUCCUGCAGGUAGUAGAUUCUGGAUCUUCCCUUAAAAAUCAAAUAGAUAGGACUGUUAAUUCGCUACGAAUGCACAACUCACCAAUUUCAGAUGUGCUUUCUCUAUGCCUAGCUAUCUAACAAAAGUGUUUACACUCAGAGAUUUUUUCCCUGUGCAUUUUUCACAGUGUACAUACAUAAAUGGCUUUUGAAG